UACUCUUGACAUCCAGUGAACUUGGCAGAGAUGCCUUGGUGCCUUCGGGAACACUGAGACAGGUGCUGCAUGGCUGUCGUCAGCUCGUGUUGUGAAAUGUUGGGUUAAGUCCCGUAACGAGCGCAACCCUUGUCCUUAGUUACCAUCAUUCAGUUGGGGACUCUAAGGAGACUGCCGGUGACAAACCGGAGGAAGGCGGGGACGACGUCAAGUCAUCAUGGCCCUUACGAGUAGGGCUACACACGUGCUACAAUGGCCAGUACAGAGGGUUGCAAUGCCGCGAGGUGGAGCUAAUCCCACAAAGCUGGUCGUAGUCCGGAUUGGAGUCUGCAACUCGACUCCAUGAAGU
rnacentral:rRNA from 1 species